GGCGUGCCUUUUGUAGAAUGAACCGGCGAGUUACGAUUUGAUGCAAGGUUAAGCAGUAAAUGUGGAGCCGUAGCGAAAGCGAGUCUGAAUAGGGCGUUUAGUAUUUGGUCGUAGACCCGAAACCAGGUGAUCUACCCUUGGUCAGGUUGAAGUUCAGGUAACACUGAAUGGAGGACCGAACCGACUUACGUUGAAAAGUGAGCGGAUGAACUGAGGGUAGCGGAGAAAUUCCAAUCGAACCUGGAGAUAGCUGGUUCUCUCCGAAAUAGCUUUAGGGCUAGCCUCAAGUGAUGAUUAUUGGAGGUAGAGCACUGUUUGGACGAGGGGCCCCUCUCGGGUUACCGAAUUCAGACAAACUCCGAAUGCCAAUUAAUUUAACUUGGGAGUCAGAACAUGGGUGAUAAGGUCCGUGUUCGAAAGGGAAACAGCCCAGACCACCAGCUAAGGUCCCAAAAUAUAUGUUAAGUGGAAAAGGAUGUGGCGUUGCCCAGACAACUAGGAUGUUGGCUUAGAAGCAGCCAUCAUUUAAAGAGUGCGUAAUAGCUCACUAGUCGAGUGACACUGCGCCGAAAAUGUACCGGGGCUAAACAUAUUACCGAAGCUGUGGAUUGUCCUUUGGACAAUGGUAGGAGAGCGUUCUAAGGGCGUUGAAGCAUGAUCGUAAGGACAUGUGGAGCGCUUAGAAGUGAGAAUGCCGGUGUGAGUAGCGAAAGACGGGUGAGAAUCCCGUCCACCGAUUGACUAAGGUUUCCAGAGGAAGGCUCGUCCGCUCUGGGUUAGUCGGGUCCUAAGCUGAGGCCGACAGGCGUAGGCGAUGGAUAACAGGUUGAUAUUCCUGUACCACCUAUAAUCGUUUUAAUCGA
rnacentral:rRNA from 1 species